rnacentral:rRNA from 1 species
CCUACGGGAGGCUGCAGUGGGGAAUAUUGCACAAUGGGGGAAACCCUGAUGCAGCAACGCCGCGUGAGCGAAGAAGGCCUUCGGGUCGUAAAGCUCUGUCCUCAGGGAAGAAAAUUGACGGUACAUUAGGAGGAAGCGCCGGCUAACUAGGUGCCAGCAGCAGCGGCAAUACGCAGGGGGGAAGCGUCAUCAGGAAUCACUGGGCGUAAAGGGUGCGUAGGCGCCUAAUUAAGCCAGGGGUGAAAGGCUGCGGCUAAACCGUAGUAAGCCUUUGGAACUACUUAGCUUGAGUGCAGGAGAGGGGAGUGGAAUUCCUAGUGUAGCGGUGAAAUGCGUAGAUAUGAGGAGGAACACCAGUGGCGAAGGCGACUCUCUGGACUGUAACUGACGCUGAGGCACGAAAGCGUGGGGAGCAAACAGGAUUAGAUACCCUAGUAGUC